rnacentral:tRNA from 1 species
AAGGGUAUAGUUCAGUGGUAGAGUGUGUGCUUAGCAUGCAGAAGGUCCUGGGUUCAAUCCCCAGUACCUCCA